UUGCCCUCUUAAGGCUGGUUAGUGCUUUAAGUGGCCAACACAGAGGGGUAUAGUAAUUCUCUCUUAAACCCAGAGGGGACGAUGAAGAUCCUUCUCUGGAUCCUGUCGGGAGAAACAGGC